rnacentral:rRNA from 1 species
UCGGGGUUAGUGGCGGACGGGUGAGUAACACGUGGGAACGUGCCUUUAGGUUCGGAAUAGCUCCUGGAAACGGGUGGUAAUGCCGAAUGUGCCCUUCGGGGGAAAGAUUUAUCGCCUUUAGAGCGGCCCGCGUCUGAUUAGCUAGUUGGUGAGGUAACGGCUCACCAAGGCGACGAUCAGUAGCUGGUCUGAGAGGAUGACCAGCCACACUGGGACUGAGACACGGCCCAGACUCCUACGGGAGGCAGCAGUGGGGAAUCUUGCGCAAUGGGCGAAAGCCUGACGCAGCCAUGCCGCGUGAAUGAUGAAGGUCUUAGGAUCGUAAAAUUCUUUCACCGGGGACGAUAAUGACGGUACCCGGAGAAGAAGCCCCGGCUAACUUCGUGCCAGCAGCCGCGGUAAUACGAAGGGGGCUAGCGUUGCUCGGAAUUACUGGGCGUAAAGGGCGCGUAGGCGGAUCGUUAAGUCAGAGGUGAAAUCCCAGGGCUCAACCCUGGAACUGCCUUUGAUACUGGCGAUCUUGAGUAUGAGAGAGGUAUGUGGAACUCCGAGUGUAGAGGUGAAAUUCGUAGAUAUUCGGAAGAACACCAGUGGCGAAGGCGACAUACUGGCUCAUUACUGACGCUGANGCGCGAAAGCGUGGGGAGCAAACAGGAUUAAAUACCCUGGUAGUCCCGCCGUAAACGAUGAUNGCUAGUUGUCGGCUGCAUGCANUUCGGUGACGCAGCUAACGCAUUAAGCAAUCCGCCUGGGGAGUACGGUC